CUCUGUCUGAGGGAGAAGAGCAGCCCUGUGCAGUCUCUUUCCUUACCCAGGACUCUCUCUGGCACCCGGCGACUUUUUCCUGUCUGACCAUACUUGGAUCUGGCUGCCCUCAGCCCCUCACCUCUCCCUUACUUGGCCUGGAUCCUGUUUUGACUCUUGUUUUCCAGUCCAAACCAGCACCCUCACACCUGUCCAGGGGUGUCAGCAAUGUCUGCAGACCUCUCAGGGGUUGUACGGGGCCUGGCCAGCAGAGGUGGCUGUGGACAAGGAGGUCUUUUCACUGAGACUUGUCCUCACCGUCCUCCAGGAGGUUAAAAAUACCCGCAAUGAGCACCUAGCCAGACAUUUCCAAGAGCCUGUUUACUGACCGCUUGGUUGACUUGAAGAUGUCGAGUCAGUAGUUCCAUCACCCCAAAAAAAGACAGAGGAUGGACCUCGCUUGACAUCCCGGGACUCAGGCUGAAGAAAGACUAGAAAGGACGAAGCCCAGGAAGGUCGGGAUGGGACAAGAGCAAUCUAGAUCCACUGAACUGGGCCUCAUGAGUAGUCUCAAGACCUCAGACCCUUGUACUACCCAGCUAGUCCACCUCUGGGAAAAGAUCAGAAUACCUUUAGAAAAAGGAAUUCUGAAACUGGAGAGAAGGCUCAGAGACCUGUUAAUCUUGCAGAGGACCAGGUUCUGUUCUCUGCACGUAUACGGUAGCUCACAGCCUUCUGUAACUCCAGUUCCAGGACCUUUCUGACCUCUGCAGGCACCAGACAUUCAAGUGAUGCACAUAGAUACAUCAUGCACGUGCACGCUCAUACACAUAAAAGAUUAAAAAGAACCAGGCAGCGGCGGCAGCGGUGACUCAAGCCUUUAA